UACGAAGGGGACUAGCGUUGCUCGGAAUAACUGGGCGUAAAGGGUGAGUAGGUGGUAAUAUAAGUCAGAUGUGAAAUACCUAAUCUUAAGUUAGGAACUGCGUUUGAAACUGUAUUACUUGAGUAUACUUGAGGUAGGCGGAAUAUGUAGUGUAGCGGUGAAAUGCUUAGAUAUUACAUAGAACACCGAUUGCGAAGGCAGCUUACUAAGGUAUAACUGACGCUGAUGAACGAAAGCGUGGGGAGCGAACAGG
rnacentral:rRNA from 1 species